UUGAUUUUAAUUUUCCUUGUCAAGGUCGUACAAUGUGCCAGUUGGCUUCAGUUUGGCGAUCAUUUGGAGAAAAAGAUUCGUUCUCAACAAGCCUUCGUUUUCAUGCGAUUCUACCCCUUCUUACCCGUUGCAUUUCACAUGUACCUGGCGAGGCCUUUGGCGCCAAAACUCAGCUACAGCAAUAGUGCCGUCGAGUUCCAUACUAGAGUAUCUCAUUCCAAACAACUAUUAGAAGCCAUAACAAGUGAUAUCAAACCAAGCGUCAGGAAAAAUGUUGGAAAUCUGUCUUCCGUACAAGAUUUAUUUCCGUACUUAUAUGAAAUCAUUCAUCCAACAUUGAGGCCUGUGAAUGUUCAAUUAUAUAGCCAAAGCGAGAAGAAUAAACUUUUGAAUUUGAUCUUGACCAUGAUUUCAUACAACUUAUCAUACAAUCAAGAGCGGAAUGUUGAUGGCCAGUACACCUAUGUCCUGCAACCGUAUGUACAUUUAUUUUGAUAAUUCUAAUUAUUUUUUUAAGGAAUCUUAAUUAAGAUUGGAAUAAUACCAAUAAGUAGUUGCAAGUAUUCAUAAUUGCCAUUAGGGUUGGCGAAACAUAUUUGAAAAAUGGAGGGGCCAAA